UUUUUCUCGUCUUCUCUCUCUCUCUCCAUUAUCACUUCUUCCUUUACCAUCUCUCUCUUCCUUUCUUCCGACAACUCAUUUCCCAGAGUCACUAUUCCUUCUCUUCCAGUGGCUGCACACAGCACAAACAUCGUGUGCUAGGAAUCAUUGCGAGAGUUGCGUGCAGUGAAUUUUUGCGAGUGAUUCGAUGUCGGGCUAUAGGUUGGUGGUAGUAGCAGUGCUAAUAUACGUGGUGGUUGUGCGAAUCUGUGAAUUUGUAGUGUGGUGUAGUGUAUAGGUUGUGGUGGUGGUGUUAAUUUAUAUUUGACAUGGAUAUGGUGGUGGUUAUAGCAAUGAGUUGGUGGAUUGGCGAAGGUGGUGGUUUUGGUGCAGGUGGUGAUAAUGGUGGUGGUACCGACAUGGGCAUCGUCGGAGGUGGUGUUGCCAAAAGACAGUCUUUAGCUACUAGUGCUUGGCUUUAUUUUUGGUGUGUUUGGAAAGGUAUUAGACCUGAAUGUUGGUCGAGGUUGUAGAGGAGGUUGAGUUAGUCAUGCUGCUAGUGGAGUUCGACAACUUAGGCGAUGGUUGGCUGGAGUUUGGAGGGUUCAUAGAAGGCGAUACCACUUGCAGCUAUGAGCAACUGAUAUUUCAUGUGGUGGCGAUGAUGCUAUGAUGCCAGUGGUAGUGGUGGUGGUGAGAAUUUGUUGGAGGUGUUGAUGGUUGUCAUUUGGUUGACGUUGUUGGGAGUGGUGGUAGUGCCGAAGUGGUAGUGGCGACAAAAAUCGAGUAUGAUCAAGUCUAUUUUCAUUGUGACUGUCUGUGAUCAAAUCUAUGUUAACUAUGAUUGUACAUGACUUAGUUACAUACAAUCACAAAUUAGACCGAUAUAGUCACAGGUGGUCACACUGAAGACAAAGUUGGCCACAAUUAGUCAUAGAUAACACAGGCAAAUAAAAGUAGUAAAGUUGGAGGGGAUUGUGGUACUGGUCUAUGGUGUGUAAAAAUUUAUUUAUGGUCUCUUUGUGGUCAAAUAUAUGUUUAUUCUGAAAGUUU
rnacentral:lncRNA from 1 species